GACGAACGCUGGCGGCGUGCCUAAUACAUGCAAGUCGAACGAACCGCGACUAGGUGCUUGCACUUGGUCAAGGUGAGUGGCGAACGGGUGAGUAACACGUGGGUAACCUACCUCAUAGUGGGGGAUAACAGUCGGAAACGACUGCUAAUACCGCUUAGGACAUAGGAUCACAUGAUCCAGUGAGGAAAGGUGGCGCAAGCUAUCGCUAAGAGAUGGACCCGCGGUGCAUUAGCUAGUUGGUAGGGUAAAGGCCUACCAAGGCGAUGAUGCAUAGCCGACCUGAGAGGGUGAUCGGCCACAUUGGGACUGAGACACGGCCCAAACUCCUACGGGAGGCAGCAGUAGGGAAUCUUCCGCAAUGGACGCAAGUCUGACGGAGCAACGCCGCGUGAGUGAAGAAGGUCUUCGGAUCGUAAAGCUCUGUUGUUAGAGAAGAACAGCGCAUAGAGUAACUGUUAUGCGUGUGACGGUAUCUAACCAGAAAGCCACGGCUAACUACGUG
rnacentral:rRNA from 1 species